GUGCUGGCUUUGGCGGCACGUACACUGGCACUGGAAUGAUCCGGUGAAGAUUAGCUUGGCCCCUGCACGAGGAUGGCAUGCAAGUUCACAAGGCUCUCCUUAGUAUC